AGAAUCAACGCUGGCGGCGUGCCUAACACAUGCAAGUCGCACGAGAAAGGGACUUCGGUCCUGAGUACAGUGGCGCACGGGUGAGUAACACGUGAAUCAUCUACCUCCGAGUGGGGAAUAACCUAGAGAAAUCUGGGCUAAUACCGCAUAACACUUACGAGUCAAAGCAGCAAUGCGCUUGGAGAGGAGUUCGCGGCAGAUUAGUUAGUUGGCGGGGUAAUGGCCCACCAAGACGAUGAUCUGUAUCCGGCCUGAGAGGGCGCGACGGACGACGACUGGAACUGAAACACGGUCCAGACUCCUACGGGAGGCAGCAGUGGGGAAUUUUGCGCAAUGGGGGAAACCCUGACGCAGCAACGCCGCGUGGAGGAUGAAAUAUCUUGGUAUGUAAACUCCUUUCGAUGGGGAAGAUAAUGACGGUACCCAUAGAAGAAGCCCCGGCUAACUCGUGCCAGCAGCCGC
rnacentral:rRNA from 1 species